AGCAGCAUGGCGCAGCUGGUAUAGCGCGCAGGGCCCAUACUCACUUUGUGGUACCCUGAGGUCCCUCGAUCGAAACGAGGUGCUGCUA